UUAUCCCUUUCUUCUUUUACGUAAAUACACUCUUAUUUUCUCGCAUAAAGUCUUCUUUACAGAGCCAGUAACCAGUAUUGUCACCAGAUUUAGGCAUAUUUAAGGAUGCCAUUUUCUCGGCAGCAACUCUAACAAUAAUACAAAACACUCUUAUUUAAGAUUUUGGUUCCCUAUAACUUGAUAGCAUUGGCAAGAGUAUUCAGAAGAUACCUGACUAAAAGAAACAGAAGCAUUAUUUCCACUUAUUAUGGAAAAUGAAGAUGUUAAUGUAAAAAUGUUGUACUCUUUACACCAAUAAGAAAAAAUUAAAAUAAUUUCAUGAUCAGGUUAAUAUAGGAGAAAUAUCUCUCUUUUGCAAGUAAAAGCCUUGUUCACUCUUUUAGAGCAGAAUAUUACAUCAUAUAAGCUUUUUCUAGAUAAAUAUAGCAACAUCAUACACAUCACUUCAUUCAAAAUAUGAACUGACAAACACACAUAAAUAUCUACAUAUAUACACGCAAAUACUUGUAUAUAUACAUUGCAUGCACAUAUAUGUGAGCAAGUCCUUUUUUUCAAGAUAUAAAUAGAAAAUGAAUUUCCCAAAGUGACUUACAACAUUUGUAUGGACAACUCCAG
rnacentral:misc_RNA from 1 species